UUUUCAGAGCCUGUAACUCAGUGACACUUACAGAUAUUACACUGCAUAUCCAUACCAUAAUGAAAGCACCAAGAAAUGCGUGGAGAGGGGGAGUUUGCUACAUGGGCAACAGCUUGCUCUCCAUAUCGUACUGCCCAGGCUUGUGUAUCUGGACAGCAAGGACACAAUAUCCAUGGUCAAUUCUGGCAGAUGGAGGUCACAGAAACUGAUUACCAUGAAGUCUGCAAGAUAAUGAAUCUCAGGGUAGAUUAUGUACAUGCAUGUACUUUGAUAAAAAACUUACUUAUAGAUUUGUCCAUCUUGUGACUAUUUUGUAAAUCACACAGGAAAAAAAGUGUUUGAAAUUAUACAAAAUCUUCAUUACAAGGAGCUCAU